CCUACGGGAGGCAGCAGUGGGGAAUAUUGCGCAAUGGGGGAAACCCUGACGCAGCAACGCCGCGUGAGUGAGGAAGGACUUCGGUCUGUAAAGCUCUGUUAAUGAGGAAAAAUGGUAGUUGGUCUAAUAGGCCGAUUAUUUGAUGGUACUCAUAGAGGAAGCACCGGCUAACUUCGUGCCAGCAGCCGCGGUAAUACGAAGGGUGCAAGCGUUGUUCGGAUUUAUUGGGCGUAAAGCGCGCGUAGGCGGACCUGCAAGUAAGAUGUGAAAUCUCGAGGCUCAACCUCGAAACUGCGUCUUAAACUACAGGUCUAGAAUCUCGGAGGGGGAAGGGGAAUUUCGCAUGUAGGGGUAAAAUCCGUAGAUAUGCGAAGGAACACCAGAGGCGAAGGCGCCUUCCUGGACGAGUAUUGACGCUGAGGCGCGAAAGCGUGGGGAUCAAACAGGAUUAGAUACCCUGGUAGUCCACGCUGUAAACGAUGAACACUAGGUAUUGGAGGAUUUGACCCCUUCAGUGCCGUAGCUAACGCGUUAAGUGUUCCGCCUGGGAAGUACGGUCGCAAGCUAAAACUUAAGGAAUUGACGGCUGNGAGNGCGAGACGACGACGAGGGAGAGG
rnacentral:rRNA from 1 species